AACGAACGCUGGCGGCAUGCCUAACACAUGCCAGUCGAACGAGACCUUCGGGUCUAGUGGCGCACGGGUGCGUAACGCGUGGGAACCUGCCCUUAGGUUCGGAAUAACUCCCCGAAAGGGGUGCUCAUACCGGUUAAUGUCUUCCGACCAACGAUUUAUCGCCUUUGGAUGGGCCCGCGUUGGAUUAGCUAGUUGGUAGGGUAAAAGCCUACCAAGGCGACGAUCCAUAGCUGGUCGGAGAGGAUGAUCAGCCACACUGGGACUGAGACACGGCCCAGACUCCUACGGGAGGCAGCAGAGGGGAAUAUUGGACAAUGGGCGCAAGCGUGAUCCAGCAAUGCCGCGUGAGUGAUGAAGGCCUUAGGGUUGUAAAGCUCUUUUAGCCGGGAUGAUAAUGACAGUACCGGGAGAAUAAGCUCCGGCUAACUACGUG
rnacentral:rRNA from 1 species